GGUUUGAGAGAAUGACCAGUCACACUGGAACUGAGACACGGUCCAGACUCCUACGGGAGGCAGCAGUGGGGAAUAUUGCACAAUGGGCGCAAGCCUGAUGCAGCCAUGCCGCGUGUGUGAAGAAGGCCUUCGGGUUGUAAAGCACUUUCAGCGGGGAGGAAGGGUCACUAGUUAAUACCUAGUGGCAUUGACGUUACUCGCAGAAGAAGCACCGGCUAACUCCGUGCCAGCAGCCGCGGUAAUACGGAGGGUGCAAGCGUUAAUCGGAAUUACUGGGCGUAAAGCGCACGCAGGCGGUUUGUUAAGUCAGAUGUGAAAUCCCCGAGCUCAACUUGGGAACUGCAUUUGAAACUG
rnacentral:rRNA from 1 species